GAUGAACGCUGGCGGCGUGCUUAACACAUGCAAGUCGAACGGAAAGGCUCCUGCUUGCAGGGGUACUCGAGUGGCGAACGGGUGAGUAACACGUGGGUGAUCUGCCCUGCACUUCGGGAUAAGCCUGGGAAACUGGGUCUAAUACCGGAUAGGACCUCAUUUUGGAUGGUGUGGUGGAAAGUUUUUCGGUGUGGGAUGGGCUCGCGGCCUAUCGGCUUGUUGGUGGGGUAAUGGCCUACCAAGGCGUCGACGGGUAGCCGGCCUGAGAGGGGGGACGGCCACAUUGGGACUGAGGGACGGCCCAGACUCCUACGGGAGGCAGCAGUGGGGAAUAUGGCACAAUGGGCGCAAGCCUGAUGCAGCGACGCCGCGUGGGGGAUGACGGCCUUCGGGUUGUAAACUCCUGUCGCUAGGGACGAAGCGCAAGUGACGGUACCUGGAGAAGAAGCACCGGCUAACUACGUG
rnacentral:rRNA from 1 species